UUAACUCAAAUUUAUAUGGAGUUGGAACGGUUACCUUCGUUUGCCGUUAGGAGCGUUGUUCCAAGUGCAUACAAAUUUGAGUUA
rfam:Bombyx mori DNA, contig: Bm_scaf57_contig28082, strain: p50T/Dazao, build 2, whole genome shotgun sequence.